rnacentral:piRNA from 1 species
UGGUAUGACUACAUGCCUACUAUUUCCUAAG